AUGGGGAGGCCCUUCCAAAGAAUACUAAGACAGUUUGGGAAAGCUGGCUUUUGGACAUGGAUUCAACACUGUUUGAAGAAGAAGAUAGGAAAGACCCAAGUGCAGAGAUGGUGAAGAUGAACGAGGAUAGUGGCUUCC
rnacentral:lncRNA from 1 species